AUACGUAGGUGGCAAGCGUUGUCCGGAAUUAUUGGGCGUAAAGCGCUUGUAGGCGGUGCCUUAAGUCUGUCGUGAAACUGCGGGGCCUAACCCCGUAUGGCGAUGGAAACUGGGGUACUUGAGUGCAGGAGAGGAAAGGGGAACUCCCAGUGUAGCGGGGAAAUGCGUAGAUAUUGGGAAGAACACCGGUGGCGAAGGCGCCUUUCUGGACUGUGUCUGACGCUGAGAUGCGAAAGCCAGGGUAGCGAACGGGAUUAGAUACCCCGGUAGUCCUGGCCGUAAACGAUGGGUACUAGGUGUGGGAGGUAUCGACCCCUUCCGUGCCGGAGUUAACGCAAUAAGUACCCCGCCUGGGGAGUACGGCCGCAAGGCUUAAACUCAAAGGAAUUGACGGGG
rnacentral:rRNA from 1 species